CACCGCCGUUUGCCGUCCGUGUGUCUGUCAGCCACGCUAAUCUGCUUUAGGGCAGAAGCUUGCACACACAGACUCUGAUAAACAGAGGGGAACUGUACGGGAGCACACAGCAUCACACGGUGUUUGUGGAAACCAAGCUGCUGAUGUGAUGCUCCUGGCGUGAGUGAAUGGCCCCUUACAUAGCAGACAUGACAUCAGAGGUACCCCUGGGCCCGUGGGUGCCCAGCCCUGUGGGGGAGGUCAAGGUACUGCCUGAACACGGGCUGGAGGAGCAACUCAACAGUUGCAACCAAGAAGUGACGCACUAUCACACAUGUGACAUGGCCACUGAGGAAUGUGCAGCAAUACUUGACAGUCUGUGCAGCGACGAGCCGUUUUGUAGGAUCUGCCAUGAAGGCAGGACCUCAGGGGAGCUGCUGUCCCCCUGCGAGUGCUGCGGUAGCCUGGCCAUGGUGCACCGCACAUGCCUGGAGCACUGGCUCACCGCCUCCAACAGCAGCCACUGUGAACUAUGCCACCACCAGUUUGCACUGGAGCGCCUGCCAAAACCUCUUACUGAGUGGUUGUGUGCUCCCUCCGUGCAGCAGCAGCGGAGGACCCUAUGCGGCGAUGCGGUGUGCUUCCUGUUCAUCACGCCGCUGGCCAGCCUAUCAGGAUGGCUAUGUGUCCAGGGAGCCAUGGACCUGUACCAGGCCAACGCCAUGGAGGCCCUGGGGCUGCUGGUCCUCACGCUGGCCCUCUUCACCAUAUACGUCUUCUGGACCAUGGUAUGCUCAGGGUCUGUACACUACAUAUGAUCUUUAUCAGACGUGGAAGAAGACGGACCAGAGAGUGCGACUGCAGAUUCCCUUGCCCCCCCAUACCAUACCGACCCAACAGACCCUGUCCAUAAACCCCUUUAGCAAAGCCCCCAACAAAGAGACCAUGGUGUAGUAGACUACAGUCUACACUACUGAACAUACAAGAGCUGGAGGACUCUUACGCCAGACUCUGGAACUUUUUCUCGAACAAUUGAGUCAGCAAAGACUAACGGACACUCGUCUUACAGUGAUAAAAUGGGAAAUUGUCCCAAAUAAGAAGAGUCAUUCUGGCAACUGGUUGGACAUGUUCGGUGAUUUUCUACAAUGACAAUCAGGAUCAUCGUUUCCUGAAGACAACAAAGCGUUGUGGACUUAUUUGACGAUCCAGUUGUUUUUCCUCCUCGUGGAUUCGGCUCAAGAAGACGAAUGUGUUGCAACUUGGCACUUCUAAUAUUUACAAUGCGAGUGUGUUAAACUUAGAAGACCUAAAGUCUAGCUUUGGAGCUUUUCAGUUGUACAGAUAUAAGUCAGACUAUACAAACUACUCAAUUAGACUUGGCUCAGUAUUCAUACCACAGCUGAUUGUAGUGUUUAUACUGAUUAUUUACCUCAGAAGUCAGAAAUGGGAAUGUUGUCCCACCCGAGCUGACCACAGUUACAACUAGAGAUGGUCCCGUACCCUUUUUUAGCUUCCCAAUACGAUAUCUUAACUCGCGUAUGGGCCGAUACCAAGAACUGAUACGAUACCAGAAUGGAUUCAAUAUAUUUCUAUCAUUUUUGUAUGGUCUGGCUCUGGUUA